UACGAAGGGGGCUAGCGUUGCUCGGAUUGACUGGGCGUAAAGGGCGCGUAGGCGGUUCGUACAGUCAGACGUGAAAUUCCUGGGCUCAACCUGGGGGCUGCGUUUGAUACGUGCGGACUUGAGUGCGGAAGAGGGUCGUGGAAUUCCCAGUGUAGAGGUGAAAUUCGUAGAUAUUGGGAAGAACACCGAUGGCGAAGGCAGCCAUCUGGACCGACACUGACGCUGAGGCGCGAAAGCGUGGGGAGCAAACAGG
rnacentral:rRNA from 1 species